ACUUAACUCUGGAGAGCCUGUGUUCGAAUGUCCCCAUAUUGCUGUUCCACAGAGCUGAACAGUGUUAACUUUCUAUAGUGUCUUAUAUUAAUCCCAAACCCUCCUGUGAGCGAUGUUCAAUGAAUAACAAUGUUUAUUCAUUUAUUAACUAAUCAGGAUGAAUAAAUUUGAAUAUUUCUGACACUGCACUGUUGCUAUGUUGCAGACACCAAGUGUUCCGAUCCUGAUGAAACCUUUUGAAGAUCAAGAAAGGAGUGGAAGAUCCACUUCUUCCUUACAACAGACACCAAGUGACCUGACUGAACCCUCUGGAGACCAUGAAUGGAAUGAGAGAUAAAUUCUCAAAAUUCUCAAAUUUUCAAAAUUCUCAUUAUUUCCUGGAAUAUCUUAUUUUGAUUAUUUUAUUUUUCCAUUUUUAAUAAAUAAUGCCUUCUUUUACAGGUGGGAAUAAGAGACGCACGUGGACAGAUUAUGAAGUGAAGGCUGUUGAGCGACAUAUGUUUGAUUUCAUAACAAGCCAUAAAGUUUCAGGUAAAACGA